CGUCUUCCCUCUGGACCUCUGGCCCCCGUUGUUUUCUUCUCCGGCGAGCCGUGCCAACGCUCGAACAGUGCGUGCCCGUGAGCUCGUCCUCUUCCUCGCCGGUGUCCGCUUCCUCCUCUUGUCCUCGAGCCUUGCUCGUCUCCGUGACUCCUUGGCGCUCGUCCGCACCCUCCUCGUCGCCUUCCCGUGCGCCCCCGUGACUGCUGCGGCCGGCAGAGCUGUGGCCGAACUCGCUCGGCGGAGCUCAGCUCGGGUGCCCUUGCCCCGGCUAUAUAUAGCCCGUCCGCGCCUCGUCCGAGCUCAUCUGCAGCUUCCCCGACCCCUUCCACUCCUCCCCUCGACACCCGUAGCUCUCCCCUCGCCUUGGAGCUCCCCUGUCCGCUCCAUGGCCGAAGCAUCGCCGCCGAUCCCCCUCGGCCACUUCUUGGCCAUGGCCCUUCCCCUCCCUUUCUUCGGCGUCCCCUACUCCCUCUGGAUCAUGCGGAGUCCCCGCCGCCCUCCAGUUCCGCCGGGGAAGCCCUGUCGUUGCGACCCUGACCCUGCCUUGCUCCGGCCAUGGCGCCCGAGUCGUGGCGUCGGCACUGUGGGCCGUCCCACGCGACCCCGCGGCCACCAGCAGGCACGGCGUGGAGUGGCAGAGCCCCUCCGCUUGUCAUCCGGCCCCGGGGAGCUGCGAGGCGAUGGCCAGGUCGGCGGCCGGCCCGCCCCUGUUCUCUGCGUCGCGCUGGAGAAGAAGGCCAGGCGGGAGGAGAGGGAAGAUGCCGUGGGCCCUGCCUGUCAUUGUCUCAGCGCUGAUGUGGCGGACCUGCUGACUGGAUUAAGUGGAAGCGCAUUUCAUCCCCGCCCGCCGAAGUGCUUAUUUUGUGAACGUUCACUGCUUGAGUGCAUUUUCUGCCUAAAAAGUGAACGGCCACAACUUUUCAACCGUAACUCCGAUUGAGAAGCUAGGAGGGAGACUCAAGCACACAUGGAGGAAGGAGAAGGAAGAAGGGCAUGAAGGAGUGGAGCCACUGGACACCCGGGUGCCCGGCCGCCCCAGCCUGGGCGCUGCUCGCCGCCCCGGGUGCCCGGCCACCCCGCUGGGCGCUGGCCCUUGCCUCCGGGUGCCCGGGCCGCGACCCCUGGGUGCCCGGCCUCUACCGCGGCUAGGCCGUCGACCCUCUGACCCGUCCGGGUGCCCAGCCCCCCUCUUUGGCGCCUCCCUCAGACCGGUCCGGGUGCCCGGACCCCUUUACCCCAGGUGCCCGAACUCCGCCGAUUUUGUCUAUGUGCAACUCGGGCAAUAUGACCCUUGUACCCCUCUUUCCCUCUUAUUUCGUCCCUAGGCUAUAAGUACUCUCCCCUAGCUCAUAUAGAGGUUGGCAAAGUAUUUGAUAGACACUAGAGAGCUUUGCUCCUUGUAUCGCCUCCUCUUGGAGAUCAAGCCCCCAUCUUGGGAAGAAUCCUUGUGGAUUAUCAAGGCCUCCUCUUGGAGAAGAUCAACAUCAAGACCUCAUCUCCUAGGAGUGGGAAGAACUUUACCCUAGUGCUAAUUUCCUUGAAUUGUUCUUGUAUGCUUGUGGAUCUCAUGUAUGCUACUCUAGUGGAUGUGUUAUUUGGGUUUGUUUGAGUGA